rnacentral:lncRNA from 1 species
UUUUUUUGUAUCUUUGAAGUGUGAAGGAGAUGAGAUACACCUGGGGACAAGUUCCCUCAUAGCAAUCUUCUAUGGAGGUGUCCAGAGCAUGUCAGCCUUGGGGCCAAACUUCUGCUGCUGUUGGAAAAAUCUGAAAAUGAGCUUGGAGUUUUUUUCCUCGGAGAAAACCACCAGUCCUAUUCAUUUGGCAUUUAUGGUCUUGUUAUCCAUGCACAAAGUGAGAAUUGCAUCUUGUGUGUCUGGGCUGUGGUACCAGAAAAAUACAGAGGGGAAGCCAGAGGAUUUUGACAUCUGCAAUGGGAAGUUUUGUCUUGCCUUUUGA